rnacentral:rRNA from 1 species
UAUAAGUAAUCAAAGUGAUUGUUAAGGAUGCCUAGCAAACAUUUAUUAAAGGAGGUGGAAACACCUAAAGCUAUGUCUAGCUAUAAUAGCAUAGCGGUCCUAAAGGAAACUAAAAUUUAAAAACGCAGUGAACUGAAACAUCUAAGUAACUGUAGGAAAGGAAAUCAACCGAGACUCCAUAAGUAGUGGUGAGCGAAAGUGGACUAGCCUAAUAAUUUAAUAUUAUCAUAGAAUCAUUUGGAAAAAUGAUCCCAUAGAAGGUGAUAGUCCUGUAUAUGUGGUAUUAAAUCAAAUCAAGUAGAGUGGAAGAUAAUCUGCUUCAAUAAUAUGGGGAACCAUCCUCAAAGGCUAAGUAUAAAUGUUUAGCGAUAGUGAAGAGUAACGUGAGUGAAAGGUGCAAGAGAAAGUCGAUGACUGGUGAAAUAGAAUCUGAAUUAGCAAUCAUAUAAGCAAUUAAAGCAAUUGAAUCUUACAAUGACUUUUGAGAGUAAGAAUGAAAAUGUAAUAAUGUACCUUUUGUAUAAUGGGUUAGCGAGUUGAUGGCAGUAGCGAGGUUAAUAGCCCUAGCGAAAGCGACUCACAUCAUAACAGAUGUGCGGGAAUAGUUACUGUCUUCAGACCCGAAACGCGGUGAUCUAUCCAUGACCAGAUUAAUAAUAAGAUCGAAUGGUUCAAUGUUGCAGUAUUGUCCAAUGAGUUGUGGAUUGUCGGUGAAAGGCCAAUCUGACUGCGAUAUAGCUGGUUCUCCUCGAAACAUAUUUAGGUAUGACUUUCUGAUUUAGAUUUAUGCGGGUACAGCACUGAUUACCAUACUGAGCUUUAAUUUUAAAGUAAGGUUUAAUUGGGGGGUUGUCGAAACUUUAUCAUUGGUUAAUUAACCUCGGAAACAACAUAAAUUGAUGCAGAAAUUUCAGACUACUCAUGAUAAGGUGGGUAGUCGAGACGGAAACAGCCGUGAACAUAGAAUAAGGUCCCAAAGUAAUGAUUAAGUGAAAAUAAGGAAGUUGUGGUUCGAAUACAACUAUAAAGUUAGCUUGGAAGUUGCUAUCUUUUAAUGAAAGUGUAACAACUUAGUAGUCUAAUGAAACACAGCACCGAAGAUUAACGGGUCUAGAUCAUUCACCGAAACUAUGUCUAUAUGUUCUUAAUAUAAAAAGGAAUGUAUUUGGGUAGAGGAGCAUUCAGUAUGGUUGAAGAAUAGUGUUUCAUUAUUUGGACAUUACUGAAGAGAUUAUGCUAACAUGAGUAACGUAGAAAGAAGUUAUAAUACUUCUCGCCGAAUGCGAAAGGGUUUCAAAGAAAUGUUAAACAGCUUUGAUUGAUAACGGUCUCUAAGGUUAAAUCAAAUGUAUAAACCGAUGAGUAUAGGGUAGAAAGUUUUUAUCCAAGAAAAUAAUACCUUUAUUAUCAUUUAUGAUAAUAAAUUCUAAAUAACCGUACCCUAAACUGACACAAGUUCGUAGGUAGAGAAUACUAAGGCGUAGAGAUAAUACUGUAUAAGGAACUCGGCAAAAUGCGUCCGUAAGCUAGACAAUAAGGACGACCACAAAGGUGUCACAGAAUCGUGAAGCACAACUGUUUACCAAAAACACAGGUAUCUGCUAUGUUUAAUAACAUUGUAUAGGUGCUGAAUCUUGUCCGAUGUCCAGAGUAUAAUAUAGGUGAAGAAGUUAAAGUAGUUUAAAUAUCAUGUGGUUUAGUGGCGCUAAGGGCAUGAUGUCUUAUGUAAGUAUCUUUGAUAUAAUUGAGAGGUAUUACUUUGUUAAGUAAUAUGGGUAAAUGAAUUAUAUAAGAACGAAAUUUAGUAGUCAUUUAUAAAAGCUCCGAUCAAUGACAGACUUAACUAUAAGGUUUUUAACAGUAGCGAAAUUCCUUGGCCGUUAAAUGCGGUCCUGCAUGAAUAGAGUAAUGAUGCUUCAGCUGUCUCAUACAGUAUCUCAGUGAAAUUGAAUUAGCCGUGAAGAUGCGGUUUAAAUGUGGGUAGACGGGAAGACCCUAUGCAGCUUUACUAUAAUUAGUUAGUAUUUUCAUUUGAAACAAUCGUAGCGUAGAGGGUAGUCGUAAGACAUUAAUGAAACACCCUUAUUAAUUUCAGAUGAAAAUUAAUCCUAUAAAGGAAAAACUGACUAGCUGGUAGUUUAACUGGGACGGUUUCCUCCAAUAGAGUAUCGGAGGACUUCAAAGGUAUGUUUAUAUUAGAUGGACACUAAUUCGUUAUGUAGAACGUAUAGAAAUGUAAAGGUAAAACAUGCUUAACUGCUAGACUGAUAAGUCGAACAGAUACGUAAGUAGGACUUAGUGAUCCGGUGAUCCUUUAUGGAAAGGUCAUCGCUCAAGAAAUAAAAGUUACGCUAGGGAUAACAGGGUAAUAGCUCUCGAGAGUUCAUAUUGUCAGAGCUGUUUGCCACCUCGAUGUCGACUCACCUUAUCCUCCUGGUGCACAAUCUAGGAAGGGUUCUGCUGUUCGCAGAUUAAAAAGGUACGCGAGUUGGGUUCAAUACGAUGUGAGUCAGUAUGGUUCCUAUCUUCCACAUUCAAGAAUAGUCAAAUUUAGAUGGGUCCUUAGUACGAAAGGACCGGGAUCUGCGUUUCUCUGGUGUACCAAUUGUUGAUAUAAUUUCUCUAUCGGCACCGUUGGGUAGCUACAAACGUUAAGAAUAAAAGCUGAAAGCAUAUAAGCUAUUGAAGUCUACUAAAGGCGACUAUAUUUGUGUUAUUUAUUAACACAUGGUAAGAGGUAGACUACCUCUUUGAUAGGUCACAUGUAUAAGCAACGAAAAGUGCCAUUAGCUUAGUGAUACUAAUUUUCCAAUUUUCUUAUUU